rnacentral:rRNA from 1 species
UNACGCGUGGGUAACCUGCCCUUUUGGGGGGGANAACUUCGAGAAAUCGGAGCUAAUACCGCAUAAUAAUAGAGGAUCGCAUGAUUCUUUAAGGAAAGAUGGCCUCUGAAGAUGCUAUCGCAAAAGGAUGGACCCGCGUCUGAUUAGCUAGUUGGAAGGGUAACGGCCUACCAAGGCAACGAUCAGUAGCCGGCCUGAGAGGGUGAACGGCCACAUUGGGACUGAGACACGGCCCAAACUCCUACGGGAGGCAGCAGUGGGGAAUCUUCCGCAAUGGGCGAAAGCCUGACGGAGCAAUGCCGCGUGAGUGAAGAAGGCCUUCGGGUUGUAAAACUNUGCCCCUAUCGAAGAGAGGUAGGUAUGUGAAUANUUUACCUAUAGGACGGNNNNNNAGGAGGAAGCCCCGGCUAACUACGUGCCAGCAGCCGCGGUAAUACGUAGGGGGCGAGCGUUGUCCGGAAUCACUGGGCGUAAAGGGCGCGUAGGCGGUUUAAUAAGUCAGUGGUGAAAACUGAGGGCUCAACCCUCAGCCUGCCACUGAUACUGUUAGACUUGAGUAUGGAAGAGGAGAAUGGAAUUCCUAGUGUAGCGGUGAAAUGCGUAGAUAUUAGGAGGAACACCAGUGGCGAAGGCGAUUCUCUGGGCCAAGACUGACGCUGAGGCGCGAAAGCGUGGGGAGCAAACAGGAUUAGAUACCCUGGUAGU